UGGGGAAUAUUGCACAAUGGGGGAAACCCUGAUGCAGCGACGCCGCGUGAGCGAAGAAGGUUUUCGAAUCGUAAAGCUCUGUCCUAUGGGAAGAUAAUGACGGUACCAUAGGAGGGAGCCCCGGCUAACUACGUGCCAGCAGCCGCGGUAAUACGUAGGGGGCAAGCGUUGUCCGGAAUCACUGGGCGUAAAGGGUUCGCAGGCGGAAAUGCAAGUCAGUUGUGAAAGGCAGAGGCUCAACCUCUGUAAGCAAUUGAAACUGUAUUUCUUGAGAUGUGGAGAGGCAAGUGGAAUUCCUAGUGUAGCGGUGAAAUGCGUAGAUAUUAGGAAGAAUACCGGUGGCGAAGGCGACUUGCUGGACACAAACUGACGCUGAGGAACGAAAGCGUGGGUAGCAAACAGG
rnacentral:rRNA from 1 species